UUUUAUUUUUAUUUAGUUUUAAUUGAUUUUAGAAGCUCACAGAUCACCUCUAUAACUCACUCCAGCUCCUAGGAGUCAGUGAUGACUUCAGAAAAAUUAAUUCACCACAAGGAAUGUAGAUCAGUGAGGAAAUGGAUGUGGAUGCAGUGCAGCUGCCUGAGAUUUGCAGGAAGCAAUUCUCCCAUUUGAAGAGACCCCAGUGAGACCUGAUCACCAACUAGCAACACAGAAACUACUCUCAGCAGAGUCACUCCUUAAGGACUCAUGAGUUUAAAGAUGCAUUUCAAUAGGCUAUCCUUCUCACUGGGAGGGAUAAUACAUUCCUAGGAAAAAGAAACAUACUAUGAAAACGACUUGGGUGAGGAAAUCCUAUCAAGCACUUUAAUAUGGAGAAAAAGAAAAAUAAAAAAGGUGAGAUCUUGCUCAGGAGUUUUGGAAAGGUCAAUAGGAUUAAUAUACCCUUUGAACAUAGUUAUUUUAGCUGAAAUAAGGAAAUGGCAUGGGGGAAACUCCACAGACUACUCAUGUAAUAGAAGUGUAAUGUAUUUACCCUUUUUCUCUUCACCCUU
rnacentral:lncRNA from 1 species